UGGUUUUAUCCCAAGUCGAACUUCUCUAUGACCAAAUUUUACAGAAGAAUAUAUUAACAUCUACAAUACCAAAUAAAUACAGUAUCAAGACAUAUUUCAUGGUAGAUUUAAUGAAACUAUUUUGAUGUUGUAGAUGGUGGUGCAUCUUUCUAUAAACUUGGUCAGAGUUUGAGAAGUUUGACUUAGGACAAAACCAA
rnacentral:pre_miRNA from 1 species